rnacentral:misc_RNA from 1 species
UACUCUCACACUCUAAUUAAUUUUGGAGAAGUGGACUUGGGUGUUGCCGCUUUGCAGUGGCUCAUCUUAAAUAUGCUAGUGCAACUCGUAGUUGGAUAUAGUACAGCGUGAUAAGUAUCUUCGCUGGCACCUCUCAAGAGGGUAUCCGAUUGGGAGCUCUGUGCUUUCAAACCGUCUUCGGACACUCUCUGACA